AUUUUUUAGUCAAAUUAUGAUUUU
rnacentral:tRNA from 1 species